GAUUUCCAGGUUUACCUAUACUAUAUAAGAAGAUAAAGAGAGAUAGGUUGAGAUGGUUUCCGUGCUCUGGAACUUCAAAGAAGAAGAAGAUGAAGAUAUGGGGAUGGUUUCCAUGCUCUGGAACCUCAAAGAAGAUGAAGAGCUAUCACCUAUGAGCUUCAGAGGAUGGAAAAAGGAAAAAGUGUUUCAUAGAGAGUUGACUACUUGACUUGGUCAAGUUGAUAUGAUAUGGUCAAUAAAAUUCCACUCAUGCUGGGAAUUCUUUCUAAAGAGUAAG